rnacentral:rRNA from 1 species
UGCAAGUCGAGCGAAGUAGCAAUACUUAGUGGCAGACGGGCGAGUAACAUGUAGGUAUCUACCCUAUGGCCUGGAAUAACACGAGGAAACUUGUGCUAAUACUGGAUAAGUCUUUACGGAGAGAGCUUUAUGCACCAUUGGAUGAGCCUGCACUUGAUUAGUUUGUUGGUAGGGUAAUGGCCUACCAAGACUGUGAUCAAUAGCUGAUUUGAGAGGAUGAUCAGCCACAUUGGGACUGAGACACGGCCCAAACUCCUACGGGAGGCAGCAGUGGGGAAUCUUGCACAAUGGAGGAAACUCUGAUGCAGCGAUGCCGCGUGAGUGAAGAAGGCCUUUGGGUUGUAAAGCUCUUUCGUCGGGGAAGAAAAUGACUGUACCCGAAUAAGAAGGUCCGGCUAACUUCGUGCCAGCAGCCGCGGUAAUACGAAGGGACCUAGCGUAGUUCGGAAUUACUGGGCUUAAAGAGUUCGUAGGUGGUUGAAAAAGUUGGUGGUGAAAUCCCAGAGCUUAACUCUGGAACUGCCAUCAAAACUUUUCAGCUAGAGUUUGAUAGAGGAAAGCAGAAUUUCUAGUGUAGAGGUGAAAUUCGUAGAUAUUAGAAAGAAUACCAAUUGCGAAGGCAGCUUUCUGGAUCAUUACUGACACUGAGGAACGAAAGCAUGGGUAGCGAAGAGGAUUAGAUACCCUCGUAGUCCAUGCCGUAAACGAUGUGUGUUAGACGUUGGAAAUUUAUUUUCAGUGUCGCAGCGAAAGCAAUAAACACACCGCCUGGGGAGUACGACC